rnacentral:misc_RNA from 1 species
GAUGAAGAACGUAGCGAAAUGCGAUACUUGGUGUGAAUUGCAGAAUCCCGUGAACCAUCGAGUCUUUGAACGCAAGUUGCGCCCGAAGCCAUUAGGCCGAGGGCACGCCUGCCUGGGCGUCACACGUCGUUGCCCCCCCAUCUACUCCUUCGGGAUUGCGGGGGGCGGAUGAUGGCCUCUCGUGCGCCUCGUCGCGCGGUUGGCCUAAAUGCCAAGUCCUCGGCGACGCACGCCACGACAAUCGGUGGUUGCGAAACCUCGGUUGCCCGUCGUGUGCGGUCGUCGCGCAUCGAGGGCUCGAAAAAAUUGCCGGGCUCCGGCUCGGCUUUCAACGCGACCCCAGGUCAGGCGGGGUUACCCGCUGAAUUUAAGCAUAUCAAUAAGCGGAGGA